ACUACGGGAGGCAGCAGUGAGGAAUAUUGGUCAAUGGACGGAAGUCUGAACCCUCCCUGCCUCUUUCUUUCCUCCUUUUCUCUUUCUUUUCCCCCUCUUUUUUCCUAGGGCAAACGCAGAUACGCGUAUCCGGCUGAAAGUAUCGGACGAAAAAGCAUCGGCUAACUCCGUGCCAGCAGCCGCGGUAAUACGGAGGAUUCAAGCGUUAUCCGGAUUUAUUGGGUUUAAAGGGUGCGUAGGCGGUCGGGUAAGUUAGAGGUCAAAUCCCGGGGCUCAACUUCGGCAUUGCCUCUGAUACUGUUCGGCUAGAGAGUGGUAGCAGUAGGCGGAAUGUGUGGUGUAGCGGUGAAAUGCUUAGAGAUCAUACAGAACACCGAUUGCGAAGGCAGCAUACCGG
rnacentral:rRNA from 1 species